GACGAACGCUGGCGGCGUGCUUAACACAUGCAAGUCGAACGGAAAGGCCCUGCUUUUGUGGGGUGCUCGAGUGGCGAACGGGUGAGUAACACGUGAGUAACCUGCCCUUGACUUUGGGAGAACUUCAGGAAACUGGGGCUAAUACCGGAUAGGAGCUCCUGCUGCAUGGUGGGGGUUGGAAAGUUUCGGCGGUUGGGGAUGGACUCGCGGCUUAUCAGCUUGUUGGUGGGGUAGUGGCUUACCAAGGCUUUGACGGGUAGCCGGCCUGAGAGGGUGACCGGCCACAUUGGGCCUGCGAUACGGCCCAGACUCCUACGGGAGGCAGCAGUGGGGAAUAUUGCACAAUGGGCGGAAGCCUGAUGCAGCAACGCCGCGUGCGGGAUGACGGCCUUCGGGUUGUAAACCGCUUUCGCCUGUGACGAAGCGUGAGUGACGGUACUGGGUAAAGAAGCACCGGCUAACUACGUG
rnacentral:rRNA from 1 species